AUGGAGAGUUCAGGAAACACCGUCGGUGGGACCAGGAAGCGGACGGGCCUGGGCCGCUGCCGGCAUUUCUUCUGGCUGGGCGUCGUCUUCGACACGGUGGGCCUGACGGUGCUGUUCACCGGCAUCUUCGCCGACCUGUUCUUCUACGACCUGCUGCUCUACCUGGGUGCCAUCAUCAUCGUCUUCAGCCUCCUCUGGUGGGUCUCCUGGUACACGGGCAACAUCGAACUGACUCCCGAGGAGGCCCUGAAGAGCCCCUUCCCCGUGCCCUCCGCCACCACGGUGGAAGCCCUCAGACAGGGCGUCGGCCACCGCCUCUCUUUGGCGGUCUGCGGCGUCUCCACCACCUUCCUGCGCAUGCGGCGGCGGCGCACCAGGAGGAUCCUUCAGAGGAGGGCUUCUCUGGAUAUGACCGUCACUGGCGAGGUGGAGAAACAGCUAGAGGAGGAGGCCCAGGACAAAGACGGGAUGCAAGGUGUCCGAGAGAGCGGCGACGCCCAAGACGUUUGCAGAGAGGCUCUGGGCCCCCAACCUGAAACCGUCGAAAGUUCCGAGGCACCUCGCCCUGCAGGCCCUGACGCUAGUCCUCCGGGCCCCGAGGCUGGGCUGCCACGGCUUAUUAAACGACCAUCGGCUCAUCUGGUGCAGUCCGAGUCCACUCUGUCUCCUCCGGACCAGCCCGUGCCUCCAGCCAUCCUCCCCUCCAAGAGCCUGCCUGUAGUCUCCUUGGCCUCCACUUGCCAGCCUCUGCCUGUUCUUACUUCCGAGAGCCAGCUUGUCAUUUCUGGGGCCUCUACGAGCCAGCCUCUGGUCACUCUUGCCUCUGCAAGCCAUCUUCCUGUCCCCUUGGCCUCUACGAGCCAGCCCAUGGUGCCUGUGGCCUCUCGGAGCCACUUCCUGCUGCCUGUGGCUGCACAGACCCACCUCGCGCUGCCUGUGGACUCUCAGAGCCACCCCUUGGUGCCUGUGGCUGCACAGACCCACCUCGCGCUGCCUGUGGACUCUCAGAGCGACCCCCCAGUGCCUGUGGCUGUACAGAGCCACCUCCCAGUCCCUCUAGCUUCCCAGAGCCAGCUCCAGAAUCUUUCUCAGGCCUCUCAAACUCAGCCUCCACCUGUGCAGGUUUCCCAAGCCCACGCUGGGGCCACCCUGCUCUCUUUGAUUCAGCUUCUGCCCACCCAGCCUUUUCAGACCCAGCCUAUGGACUUGCAGGUCGGCCCAGCUGUUCAUGACUUGCAGGCCCUGGAUCACACCCAGCAGGCCCCCCAGAGCGGCUCUUGGGUUCAAGAGAUUGCUCCAGGCCAGGCUUCAUCUGCCCAGGAGUUUCAUAAGCAGCCCGGGGCUCAGGCUUUUGAGAGUCUGCCACCAGCCAGCCAGAAGCUAAGUCAAGAUCACCCUGACCCCACAUCCCCACUCCCGGAGGCCCCAGUUCCAGCCACUCAGGCCCAGCAGUCAGUGCCCCCCGAGAGUGCGCCCACCCCAGCCUCGGAGAAGAAAAGUCACCCCCUCUAG
rnacentral:lncRNA from 1 species